rnacentral:rRNA from 1 species
GACGAACGCUGGCGGCGUGCUUAACACAUGCAAGUCGAACGGAAAGGCCCUGCUUUUGUGGGGUGCUCGAGUGGCGAACGGGUGGGUAACACGUGAGUAACCUGCCUUUGACUUUGGGAUAACUUCAGGAAACUGGGGCUAAUACCGGAUAGGAGCUCCUGCUGCAUGGUGGGGGUUGGAAAGUUUCGGCGGUUGGGGAUGGACUCGCGGCUUAUCAGCUUGUUGGUGGGGUAGUGGCUUACCAAGGCUUUGACGGGUAGCCGGCCUGAGAGGGUGACCGGCCACAUUGGGACUGAGAUACGGCCCAGACUCCUACGGGAGGCAGCAGUGGGGAAUAUUGCACAAUGGGCGGAAGCCUGAUGCAGCAACGCCGCGUGCGGGAUGACGGCCUUCGGGUUGUAAACCGCUUUCGCCUGUGACGAAGCGUGAGUGACGGUAAUGGGUAAAGAAGCACCGGCUAACUACGUG